UCCUCAUGAUGCGGACAACAAGGCUCAUAAUUCUCACCCACGUCACACCACACAAACUCCAGAGUCUUACUAAUGAACUACCUGUACCUGAUACCUUUUUACUGGUUUUGAACGAAAAAUUUGAAAAACUAAGAGUAAGCCUUUACGUGCAGCUGCCACAUUUUCCUCAAGAAUAUCAUUUUAUGAAGAUCAGUGACUCGUCAGUACAAAAAGGAAUAACAUUCACAUUAGACUCAGUUGCUCCCGAGAAAUUUACAAGAUUUAACUACGGAAAGAAGCUGCUGGUGGUAGCAGAAGAGUACCAGCCUCACACCGCUCUAGAUCAUGUACAUGGACAUCAAAUAGGCUUCACAGGGCCAAUGGUUAAUCUCCUUAAUAUCAUGGCAAAAGGACUCAACUUCACGUACUCUUUUGUCCGCCCACCUGAUGGUUCGUGGGGUACUAAAAGACCCGAUGGCUCUUGGUCAGGCAUGGUUGGAGUAGUAACACGAGGGAAAGCUGAUCUAGGUCUUGGUCCUUUUGCUAUGAGUGCAAGUCGUGCAGAAGUGAUUGACUACCUACGGCCAAUUUUAGUAGACUACAUAAAAAUUAUGGGUGGUCGAGGACGUUUGAAAGUGGAUCCCUGGGGUUUUCUGCUACCUCUGACGUCAGCGGUGUGGGUCGUCCUCUUAGGUUCACUGACUGCGAUUGCGUUAUCGAUGAACAUCUUAUCUUCUACUUGUAAAUCACUCCCAAGAAAGUGGAGUGGGCUGAAAAGCUUUUCAGAACUAAUCCAAGUGUUA